rnacentral:misc_RNA from 1 species
UCACUACUUGCGUAGGCAGUCCAUUUAGAGUGCCCAGCAUGACCUGAUGGCAACUAAAUGUAGGGGUUGCGCUCGUUGCAGGACUUAACCUAACACCUCACGGCACGAGCUGACGACAGCCAUGCAGCACCUGUACCAGUGUGUAUUGCUACAAGACCGACUUUCAUCGGUUGUCACUGGCCUUUCAAAUCCGGGUAAGGUUCUUCGCGUUGCAUCGAAUUGAACCACAUGCUCCACUGCUUGUGCGGGCCCCCGUCAAUUCCUUUGAGUUUCAACCUUGCGAUCGUACUCCCCAGGUGGAAUACUUAAUGCGUUAGCUUUGGCACUGAACCUUACGGCCCAGCACCUAGUAUUCAUCGUUUAAGGCGUGGACUAC